GAUGAACGCUGGCGGCGUGCCUAAUACAUGCAAGUCGAACGGAAAGGCCCUGCUUUUGUGGGGUGCUCGAGUGGCGAACGGGGGAGUAACACGUGAGUAACCUGCCCUUGACUUUGGGAUAACUUCAGGAAACUGGGGCUAAAAUCGGGUAGGAGCUCCUGCUGCGUGGUGGGGGAUGGUAAGUUUCGGCGGUGGGGGAUGGACUCGAGGCUUAUCAGCUUGUUGGUGGGGUAGUGGCUUACCAAGGCUUUGACGGGUAGCCGGCCUGAGAGGGUGACCGGCCACAUUGGGACUGAGAGACGGCCCAGACUCCUACGGGAGGCAGCAGUGGGGAAUAUUGCACAAUGGGCGGAAGCCUGAUGCAGCAACGCCGCGUGCGGGAUGACGGCCUUCGGGUUGUAAACCGCUUUCGCCUGUGACGAAGCGUGAGUGACGGUAAUGGGUAAAGAAGCACCGGCUAACUACGUG
rnacentral:rRNA from 1 species